UACGUAGGGGGCAAGCGUUGUCCGGAUUUAUUGGGCGUAAAGCGCGUGUAGGCGGCCAGGUAGGUCCGCUGUGAAAACCCGAGGCUCAACCUCGGGACGUCGGCGGAAACCAUCUGGCUAGAGUCCGGAAGAGGAGAGUGGAAUUCCCGGUGUAGCGGUGAAAUGCGCAGAUAUCGGGAAGAACACCCGUGGCGAAGGCGGCUCUCUGGGACGGUACUGACGCUGAGGAGCGAAAGCG
rnacentral:rRNA from 1 species